GUGGAUCUCAGCCAGCUGCUGGGGACUGCUGCUACCUCGAGUCCUUUCAGAUGAGUCACAGGUUUGGCUAAAGAAAGUUGAAACAAAGCAAACAAGAUGUAGAUGACCUUUCUGCCUACCUGACUCCAGCUCCUGCUUCAAUAACAUGUUGUGCCAUCAACUAAUUCCACCUAAAUUUGGAACCGUGUACUUAAAGACAUCACGGAACUGAAGAGUCAGGGGAGAGACUUCAUCAGGAGUCUCACUGGCCUCACUGCAAGCUCAACCCUAAAUCAGACCUCAAAGGCUUUCAUCCUGGAGACAACACCACAGGAUCCAAUCUUCCCUUGCAGAGGCCCUCACUGUCUUCCUGGGUCCAUCUGGAUUUGUCCAUGGGUGUUUCCUGUAAACCCCAUUGCUUUCUCAGUGUGAAAAACAUGUCUAGACCAAACAGCCACUUCAGAUUUAAUGUGUGAGUGAUGACUUGAGUAAGAACCCAGCCACAGCAGCACAGUGUCAGCCAGCACCAGGAAGCCUUUGGAAGAGGGGCCCAGCCCUGGUCUGCCUAAGUGUUCGCAGCCUGGCCUGUGUGCAAUAGUCACCUGAAAAUGGGGAAAACUUUGGCUGUUCUUUGGGUCUCAGUAUCUCCUCCUGCUCCUCUGCCUGGAACAUCAGCAUCUUGGCCUCCAUCCCUGGGAUGUUUCUCUGCUCAGUUCAGACUCAGCUGCCAGCAGAAGCACAGAGACACAACGCAGCAGUGGCACCGACACAUGGGAAGUCUAAUGAGCAUAGCACUGACCAGCUCUUUGGCAAUGGAUGGAGAUGUCCUCUUCCAAGCUGUCCUAGUUGCCAGGGGUUUGCCCUCUCAUUGCCUCUUUUGGACAGUCUGCAGGAGCAGUAGCAUCACAGUGAAGUCAAGGUACCAGUUUAAACUUUGAAGCUAUUUUGUCUAACGUUAUCUGAAGAAGGGGCUUCAACAGCAGCCGUCUGUGACACAGCUAGCUGCAGAAGGUAACUGUUGUCCAUAGCAUAAGUUGUGUACUUGCAUCACCUUCACUCCCGUCCCUUCUGUAAUUGCUCCAGCAGACUAUUGACAACAGUUCAAUA
rnacentral:lncRNA from 14 species